UUCAAAAUUACAACACCACUUUAGAUUAUCUUCAGUCUAUUCUCAUUACUUAUCUGAAAGUGGAGUUCCAGAAGUAACAACUUGUCACUCCAGAAGUGCUGUCACUGUGGAUUACAUUUUCUAUUCUGCAGCAAAGGAUGAUAGUGCUGCUCAGCCAGGAGUCGAAGAUGCUUUUGAUGGAGGUCUGAAGCUUCUUGGUAGAUUAUCACUUUUAACAGAGCAAGAUCUGUGGACAGUUAAUGGUCUUCCCAAUGAACAUAACUCUUCUGAUCACCUGUCCUUACUAGCUCAGUUCAGGCUUAUUGAAGAAUAAAUUCCCAAAUUAUUUUUAUAUCUGCACUUUCCUUCACCACCUCUUCUUCCUGUAAUUUUUUUAAUUCAAGGACUGUCAGACUGGUUAAAUUAAGUUCGCCUGCAUGCUGAAUUUUUAGUGUUGUGUAAAGUAGAGUUUUUAAAGAGAUUUCUUUGUAAAGUUGCUUAAAUUACUUUGUGGAGUCAUAAAGACAAAAAGAAAUGAGUUUACAUUAGCUUCCUCUUUUUGAUAAUGGAAAAUGUCUGUGCUAUAGUCUGAAAAUGGCACUAUUUUUAAAAAAUGUUUUUAUUGUCAAUCAUAGUAAAAUGGGUGAUGGUUCUUAAGUACAGUGUACUUCUGUCAAUCCUUCAAGCAAAAGAUUGUGUUUGUAGCAAAUUUCAUAAUGAACUCAAAGUAGAUUUC